UUUUGAAUUCCUUCCUUUAAUAAGUCUUCUCAUAGGGUCACUUGGAGAGGACUGGAAGAUGGAGACUCUUGGGAUCCGUCAGGAGAUCGCUUAUCCCACAACCCAGGCCUAAUGCAAACAGCGUCAUCUCAAUGACUGGCUUGUCUUAGACUUGAGAAUGGAAAAAACAUGGACUUUUGGUCAGAUGUACUUGGAUGUUGGUCGGGAGCCUGCUACUUACUGCCCAUGUGACCUAGAGCACGUUUGUUAACCUCUGCAAGACUGCCUCGUCCUUUAGAAGAAUACAAUCAUCCUUUCCUCAUAAGAUGUGGAUCUGUGGACACUUGGCAAACAGCCAUUAAUCACGCCCUCUUACCUUGAUGUCAGAUGACUGCAGUUGACACAUUCAUCUCCCUGCCUGGAUAGUGAGUUGGAGGGCUCUGGGUCCGAGGCCUGCCCCUGCUCACCAUUUUUGUGUGGUCUUGAACAACUUUUCUGGACCUCAGUUACUUUAUGUAUAAAUUGAGGUUAAUAAAUUAUGUUUGGAAAUUG